rnacentral:misc_RNA from 1 species
ACUCUCCAUCACAUUGCAAGCACAGUCACUACAUAAGUACAUCUCUGUUCUUCUUUUUCCUCCGCUCCCCUCUUUCGUCGUUGGACACACGUGACGGUGCUCCGCGUGCUUCCACAGUUGGUGGUCUCUUCCGCUAUCUUGUCUUUUUUUUUGUCCUGCGCGUCGGCGUGGAGGCGAGUAUCUUCCCUCCUGCGUACGAGGCCGCUAGCUCAGGCCGCACCACCCCUCUCGUCACGUCAGCUCUUUAGCCUAUUAAGCUUAUCUAUUUCUCCCCGACGUCUGUUUUUUUUUUUUUUCGUACUGGAUAGUCUACGUGGGAACGAAGAGCGCAACGAUGUCGGCCACGCACGCACUGCGCGACAAGUGGUUUGUUAGCUUUCUGCCGCUGCUGACGGCGGACAUGGUAAAUACAGACUACAAGGGCAACUGGCAAUUAGCAGCACAGGAGCGAACUCAGAAGCUCGACUGGAUUACGUCGGUAGAAGAGCUCUGGUCUACAAUGAACUCGCUCCCCAAGGUGCAUCAACUAGGAAUGGGGAGCACACUCAUAUUCGCGCGCAACAACAAGGAGCCGCCGAGCUACGAGGCGUACCCGAACGGUUCUCGUAUAAUGAUUAAUCUCCUGAAGCCGCCGACGACAGAUGCCGGUCUCGAGUUGGUGCUGGCUGUUGUGAUGGGUGAGACGGCAGCGGAGAAGGCGAGUGAUGGGAAACCCGUUUGCGAUGUGCUGCGCAUUGCUGCCCGCCCCAGCCGCGAGCACUCGGAGCAGAUUCGUGUGGAGGUGUGGCUUAGCGACUCCACCCGCUCCCACGCCGUUGCUGAGUUUCUCGCAGAGGCGAUGAGGGAAAAAGGCUUAGCUGCCAACUCGUAUAAUAUCGCGGAGGCCAGCUUUGACGCUGCCGCCCCCAGUAAAGAUAAGAAGGUGUUGGCCGCCUCCACGACGCUGAGUCCUUCGUCGCCGCCGAUGAUGAAGGAUUAGCCGCCCAGAUCAUUCGCGGGUCGUUGCAAAUGUCGUGUUUUUCCGAUUCUAUCCUUCACUAACCGGCUCCCGCGGCACACAUCCCAUCCGCUCGACGCUUCUGUGCGUUCGACGCGCGGGGGCCGCGCCGCUGCAGAACGGAUUAGAGCCACCUUGUUGUUGGGGGAGGGGAGAGUGGAUGGUGAGGCGGGCCUUGUGUGCACACGCGUGUCUCCAGUAAACAAGGAGCCGACGACGAGCGGGGAAGCAAAGGGGGCAACAGCUAAUCACGCAGACCCACAGAAAAAAAAGACUAAGCGCACAUGCACGCAACGGCCAGCAGAGGCGAUUUAUCCUUGCGCUCGUUUUCCAUCUCGUAAAGCGACAUUAAGGCAACGAAGAGAACAAAGUCAGCAGGAGAGGGGGAGGAUAGAGACGCGCGAUACGGCCACGGAGCAUCAAUAGCAGAGAACGUGCUACCGUGGGGCUUGCGUGUCGGCUGCGCACAGACGGUGUGCAUGGGUGUGCACAGCGCAAAAAAAAAGAGAGAAGCUGCAAGGGCACUUGAUAGGCUGAAAGAGAAGUCGAAGACAAGCGCGUGACUCACUGGGGGAGGAGAGGGUCAGUGGGAGGCUCGCAUGAGGCUAGCAGCACAGGCACACAGACUCUAUUAGUGGUGUUUUUUUUCUUGCUCUCUAGCGGGCGAUUGUUUUCACUCUACGGCUGUUCUCACGCUCUUCUUCCCCUUUUUGUGGCGGGUGCCGCUGUCUUGUCUUUUCUUCCCUCUUUGGUGCCUCGUUCUUCGCGUGUGUACUCCUCCUGUGGGCCAGUGGCAUGCCGUGUGCUCAUCUCUCUGCCUGCUCGGUGCACGUAUGAGUUCCAGGCGGGAGUGGGCGUGUGCACUUGCUUGCACGACUAUGUGAAGGCCUUCAUGGAUGCACCUCCACACUCUCAUUCUUCUUUUUCUCUCUUCAUAUUUGUGUAAUAGAGUAUACUUCUCUAUUUGCCACCUGCAUGCGACUCUCUCUCUGGUUCACUGGACUUCACUGUCCUGCUCACUGCCGAGGACUCUCUCCCGCUCUUAGCGUCCCUGUAGGAUUCUCUCCUCUCCCUUCCCUAUCUGUGUGCUUCAUCUUCCGACCACGUGCUCGUUUUCUUUGUGUGUUUUCUCUUCAUUUUUCUUUUCUUUUUCCUUUUUUUUGCCUUUGCCCACACCCCUUUUCGUUUUUUUUUCCCGUGUGCGUGCGCGUGUAACGGCUUGCCCUAUCCCCUCUUGUCGAACCGUAAAUAUCUACUCGACAUACGCACACACACACACACACACGCACAUACGCACGCACAGUCCAGAGGUCAGCACGUUGUUCUCUUCACCUCCCCUCACCAAAAAAGCAAAAAAAAAGCAACAACAAGAGAGACGAUAAAAAAAAACAAAGACGCUUGCCUCACGUUAUGCUCCUUUCAUUUCUCAGCUAAUCGAUGCAACCAAGCCCCUCCCCUCCUCUCCCCCUCGAAAGGGACAGUGCAAACACAAUUAGAGCAGUAACCCGUGGUGCUUCUAAGGCAAGCAACAACCUCAGAGAGGCUGUCAGAGCAGUGCGAUGGCACAAAAUUCUCUCACCUUUCAAGCGUCCACCCCUCAUUCUCUUAUCUACACUUGGGUGCACGACUGUCUUUGCACACCGUCGUCUGUAUUCUGUUGCACCAAUACAUUAGCCCACCGUGCGAUGGAGGGCUGGGAGGCUUGCGUAAGAUCGACCCCAUUUUUGUGCAUGAGAACUGAGGGAGAGAGAGAGAAAAGAUGGUAGCAUCUGUGCCAUCUUGUUCUCGGGGGUGUUCACUGCAUCCCUCUCGCACUCGGUUGCGCCGACU